GUGGUCACAGCUGGUCAGUCCAGUAACCUAACAUCUGGAAUGCCUCUGCUACUGAGGGAUCUCAGUAGCCUUACUUAGCCUUCAGCCAUUGACCUUCUCCCUCGCUGGAUAUUCACACACCCUUCAUCGAAAACUAUAUAACUCUUGGUUCACCCCCCAAAUAAAGCAUAUGCAUUCAAACCCACCCCCAAAAGAAACACAAACAAGCUAGGAUCAUCUCAGAGAGCUGCUUCAUUAAAUAACAUUGGAAAAAACCUUUCACUGAAAGGGCCAUAACUCUAAGAUCCUUGAAGAAACCUCAUCCCCACCGCCUGCACACUUGUUUCCUCUUCAAGCAUCUGGACAUGGAAGAGGAUAGACAGAAUGCAGCACUACACCAGAACAAUGGGAACAUUGGAAUAAUAAAGUACACAUGGAUAUGCAAUGUACCCAGACAUAAACUCACACAUCUGUGGACACCUGACUUUUGAUAAACAAGCAAGAAAUAUAAUACUGAAGAAAAAGAUUUCUUGAACAAAUGGUGUAACUGGAUGUCGGUAUGUAGAAGAAUGCAAAUACCUAUUACCCAGCACAAAACUCAAGUUCAAGUGCAUCAAAUACUGAAUCUGAUAGAAGAAAAGGUGGAGAGUAACCUUCAACAAAUUGGCACUGGAAACAACUUCCUGAAGAGAACACCAAAAUCUCAGACAUAAAGACCAACAUUAAUAUGUGGGACUACAUGAAAAUGAAAAGCUACUGUAAGGCAAAGGACACUGCCAAUAGGAAGAAAUGGCAGCAUUUGACACAUCUGAGAGAGGGCUAAUAGCCAAAAUAUCUAAAGAACUAAAGAAACUAGACAUCAACAAACUUAAUAAUACAAUUUAAAUAUGAGGUGCACAUCUCAACAAAGAAUUUUCAAAGGAGAAAUCUUAGAUGGCUGGGAAACUCUUAAAGAAAUUUUUAACAUCUUUAGCAACCAGAGAAAUGCAAAUCAAAACAAUUUUGAGAUUCAAUCUUAUACCUGUCAGAAUGGCUAAGAUCAGUCACACAAGGGUCAGCUCAUGCUGGUGAGGCUGUGGAGCAAGGGGAACACUCCUUCAUUGCUGGUGGGAAUGCAAACUUGUAUAGCAACUAUGGAAAUCAAUAUGGCAGUUCCUCAGAAAAUCAGGAAUUUAUCUACCUAAAGACCCAUCCAUACCAGAAGCUACCCAGUGAUAACUCCUGGACAUAUAUCUAAAGGACAUUCUAUCCUAUCACAAGGACACUUACUCUACUAUGUUCAAAACAGCUUUAUUCAUAAUAGCCAAAAACUGGAAACAACUAAGAUAUCUCCCAACCAAAAAAUGAAUUUUUAAAAAUGUCACAUAUCUACACAAUGGAGUACUGAUACAAAAAAUGUGGUACAUUUACACAAUGGAGUACUACGCAGCUAUUAAAAGGAAUGAAUUUAUGAAAUUCCUAGGCAAAUGGUUGGACCUGGAGGGUAUCAUCCUGAGUGAGGUAACACAAUCACAAAAGAACUCAAAUAAUAUGUACUCACUGAUAAGUGGAUAUUAGCCCAGAAACUUAGUAUACCCGAAAUAUAAGAUACAAUUUGCAAAACACAUGAAACUGAAGAACGAAGACCAAAGUGUGGACACUUUGCCCCUUCUUAGAAUUGGAAACAAUCACCCAUGGAAGGAGUUACAAAGUUUGGAGCUGAGACAAAAGGAUGGACCAUCUAGAGACUGCCAUAUCCAGGGAUUUAUCCCAUAAUUAGCCUCCAAAUGAUGACACCAUUGCAUACACUAGCAAGCGUUUUCUGAAAGGACCCUGAUAUAGCUGUCUCUUGUGAGACUAGGCGGGGCCUAGCAAACACAUAAGUGGAUGCUCACAGUCAGCUAUUGGAUGGAUCACAGGGCCCCCAAUGGAGGAGUUAGAGAAAGUAUCCAAGGAGCAAAAGACAUCUGCAACCCUGUAGAUACAACAACAUUAUGAACUAACCAGUACCCUGGAGCUCUUGACUCUAGCUGCAUAUGUAUCAAAAGAUGGCCUAGUCGGCCAUCACUGGAAAGAGAGGCCCAAUGGACUUGCAAACUUUAUAUGCCCCAGUACAGGGGAACGCCAGGGCCAAAAAGUGGGAA
rnacentral:lncRNA from 1 species